UACGGAGGGUGCAAGCGUUAAUCGGAAUUACUGGGCGUAAAGAGUGCGUAGGUGGUUGAAUAAGUUAUGUGUAAAAUCCCUGGGCUUAACCUGGGCAGGUCAUAUAAUACUGUUUGACUCGAGUAUGGGAGAGGGUAGUGGAAUUUCCGGUGUAGCGGUGAAAUGCGUAGAGAUCGGAAGGAACACCAGUGGCGAAGGCGGCUACCUGGCCUAAUACUGACACUGAGGCACGAAAGCGUGGGGAGCAAACAGG
rnacentral:rRNA from 1 species